AAAAAAAAAAAAACCUAAAAUUGUCACUUGCUACCGUUGAUACUUCUAUCUGUAGGAAGAUCUUCUUUCAAUAUUAAAAUGAAAUGAAAUUGGAGAUCAUUUUUGAAACACUAACUAUAUAAAUACUAUCUGUUGUCACGUAAUUUAGAAAUAGCCAUCUAUGAAUUUCAGAAAACAACCUAAAUAAAAAAUCAAGCACUCAAAGUUAGAGGGCCUCGUAUUAACACCAAUAUCUAUCAUUCGUUUAAUCGGGGCAUCAAUCGCUCAUUAAUUUUUUUUAAUCAGUAUCAAAAAAACGAUAUGAAACCGUUCACGUUUCUUGCCUAUUGUUGUGUUACAAUUUUGAAAGUUCACAUUUUAGGGAAUGUAUUGGAAUCAAAACUGGUACAGACCCUUCAAGGACCUGUACGAGGUUAUAGGAUCCCAGAGACGGACGUAUAUGCGUUUCGUAGUAUUCCCUAUGCUACUGCUCCAACUGGACCUAAUCGAUUUAAGGCUCCACUUACUCCACCAAACUGGACCGAACCUCUAGACGCUAUUGAUAAGGGAAUAAUAUGUCCACAACCCCUCAUUAAAGCGUUGCCUGCCCUUAAUAAGCAUAUGCAAGAAGACUGCCUGAUAACUAAUAUCUAUGUACCGAAUACCAAUGAAACAAAACUACCAGUUGCAGUUUCAAUUCACGGAGGAGCAUUCCAAAUUGGAUACGGUGAUAUGCUUCCUACUGACAAAUUUACUAAAAACACCAAUGUCAUUACUGUGACCUUCAAUUACCGGCUUGGAGCCUACGGAUUUCUUUGUUUGGGAACAGAAAGUGCCCCAGGGAACGCUGGAUUAAAAGACCAGGUAUCCUUAUUAAAAUGGGUCAAGGAAAACAUUGAGAGUUUUGGAGGUAAUCCAAAUGACAUAACUCUAAUGGGUUGUAGUGCUGGAGGAGUUUCAGUGGAACUGUUGAUGCUGUCUAAGUCUACUGAUGGGCUGUUCAAUAAAGUAAUUCCCGAAAGUGGUUCAAGUAUCGGGUUUAUUUCCAUUCAACAAAAUCCUAUAGAAACAGCCAUAUUUAAUGCGAAAUCAUUAAAUUUUACGAACGUAGAUGAUUUACAGGCUUUGGAAGAAUUCUAUAAAUCUGUUCCGAUAGAACUAUUGGUAUUCGAUGACUUCUGGGAUUCGAGUAACUUUGCGUAUAGCUUCAUACCUUGCAUCGAAGAUCCAACUAGCACCGACGCGAUUAUUACCGACGUCCCUGCAAAUAUUAUAAUGUCAGGAGAUUACAAAAAACUGCCAAUGCUUUAUGGCCUCACUAACAUGGAGGGGCUAAAUAGAUUUCAGUAUUUCGAACUAUGGAAGACGAGAAUGAACGAAGACUUUUCAGAGUUCCUACCUAUCGAUCUACACUUCAACAACGAAGAAGAUAAAUUAAACGUUAUAAAAUCAAUAAAAGAGUUCUAUUUCGGUGAUCAACAAUUAGACGAGAAAGAUCUUUUGGGAUUCAUAGAUUACUAUACAGAUACGGUGUUUGGUCAUGUUAUGUUGAAGGCUACAAGAUUACACGUGAACGCCGGACACGAUAAAAUAUAUUUGUAUGAAUAUUCUUAUGUAGAUAAUCAAACACCCCCAUUGCCUAAUUCGGAGGCGCGGGGUGCCACCCACUGCUCUCAAACGCUAGCUGUGUGGGGUGUUAAGAUGUUUUCUAAUCCUGGUGAUAAUCCUCUGGGUGAUCAUGAUCCCUUUCAUUCAACCGUAAGACAGCUAUGGUCGAACUUUAUUAAAACUGGUCAGCCCGUACCGGAGGGAUCGCCGGUUCCAAACUGGCCCCCGGUGGGUCAUAACAUAUCACCACACAUGUCCAUUGGUGAAAAAAUUGAGCUAAAAAGAGGCCUCCUCGAAAAUAGAUCUCGUUUUUGGGAUGAAAUCUAUGAAAAAUAUUAUCAAGUACCUGUUUCCCCGAUAUUACAUUCAAAAACCAAGACAGAAUUAUAAAAGUAAAUGAAAUAAUAAUUAACUGUUUUUGCUAUAACUUAUUAUGGUACGACUAUUAUACGUCAAGCUGCUAUAAUCUGAAUUGAUUAAUGAAAGUAUUUGUGAAUUUUAAUUUAAUAAAUUUUAUGAUGUUUUGACAAAAUACAUUAGAUGAUUUCGAAACGAAUCCUAGGCGACGUCCAUCAAUAAACUGAAAAAACUUUGCAAGAAGAAGAAGCUUUGAAAAAGCUGUAUCUUAUCGGCCAUAAGAAAUAUCGCGCGGUGUAAAGGAUAAUUCUCAAAAUGACAGUAACGCAACUAUUAUCCUAAAAUAAGUGGCUCUAAUAAGUGGCCUAAAAAACAUAAUGCAAGAAAUAGAAUGAAUUAAAUUUGAAUAUGCAACGCAAAUAAAACAAUUAGCGGACGUACACGAUUCUCCGAAUUCGGGCCAAAUUGUUUUUAAUUAUAUUUGUAAUCAUUACUUUUAAAAAAUAGUCCUUACCGGCAUCUUAUAUCGUCUUUACAUGACCACUGAUUCAGAAUAUAAUUUCAUUACUCAGAACGAUCGGCAAAAACUCAGGUCUUGCUCUGUUCUUUUCAUAGAAUAAGGAAAUGAUGUCUAUUUUAACAUAUUAAAUCUGUACACAUAAUAAAUAUGACUAGAACGACAAAGAAAACAGCUGCUUCACAAUUCUGACCAAAAACCCGUUUGCUACUGUUGCUGUCCUGCAAGAUUAUAAUUUUAAACCAUAAAAUUGGAGAGGAGGUGGAAAUAAAUUAAAAAAUGUCUAUAGGAAACUUUAGCAGAUAUGUUCAGUAUAAUGUCACUGUCAAAAACUAGCCCGGUUCAACUUGCGCUAUUUCGUUAAUUAAGCGACGUUAUGUGAUUUCACUGGCAAAAACAAUAACAUUGCUGUUCAAUCUUAGCAAAAUUUUCCGGAGCAUCAUAGAAUACCUAUUUCCUUGAAACUUGUACUGCAAAGUCCCAAGGGACAGACGGAGCAAUCUUGAAAUUUAUAUUUUUUGUAGAGCAUCCGGGAAAUACCCACGUCAAAGCUCGGUCGGGACACCGACCUCAACUUAGUUCCUGACCUUCGGAUGAAAAAUGGAACUUAUAACGAAUUGGGAUUGAACGCGCUUCAUACUUCAUAGUUAUUGACUUGACUCUUAAAUGUACAGAGCGAAACAUUUUGAAUGAAUUUGCUACUACAAAAAAAUAAGGCAUUUAAAGACGGUGCCGAAUUCAUUUUGGUACACAUUGCGAAAAGUACACACGAUAAUCUUGUUGAAAUGCUUAUUAUGCACUCCCCAAAUGCUUUGGAUGGAUGAUUAUUGGAAUUUUGGCCAUAAAAAAGGUUGAAUGUCAUUUUGUACUAAGUUUAUUUAUACUCAAAUAUUAUUAGAAUAAUUUUAAACUAUUUUAAGAAAUUUUAAGAAUAUUACCUACGUAAAUCAGUCCUAGGAAUCAGGUAACUUUAAUUAUGGUAUGCAUGUAUUUAAUUAUAGUAAUAAUAAUAUUCUGGUGCCAAGUAAUAAUACGUAGUAUAAAAAUUGAUAUAGAAGAAACAUUACUAAAAUCGAUUACGAACAUAGUUUUUUGAGAAAUUAAUGAAUGAAUCGAUUUUGCAUUGCAACGCGCAAGGUGCUGUCUGUUUGCCGGUUUUUAUUGAGUUUGAAGGUAGUCGAUUUAUCACCUAUCUGAUAGAGAACGGUCAAUGUCAUCCAUGAACAAUAGCAAUUAAAAGAGCAUAGCGUAGGUUACCGGCCAUUGUGGGCUAUUACGAACUUCGUUUGAAUAAAGAGAUGUUGUAGCUUGAACCGAUGAACCAGCUUAUGACCUACGUUACCGAAAACCAAAAAAACCACAACGUGAAUAUUACCAGCAAUUUUUUUUUUGCAAGUUUGUAAUUUUUGCCGUUUUAAUUUUUUCGUCCAAAGAUUUCAUCCCUUCAUCCCGAACAUUUGUGAAUCGCAUUAGGUAAGAGCGUACUAAGCAAUAUAGCGAAAACAAAAUCCUAGACGCUUCCUUGAAAAUGCUGCGUUAGUUUGAAACUAUACUUCUGUUAUGUGAAAUAAAUUUCACAACCGAAUUAUACACAUGUAAACUGCCUUAAUUGCGGCUUAAACAUAGACUACAAUGGGCUUAGUAGGCUUUAGUAGGAAAUUCUGAAGGGAUCUUUGCCUUUUGUAAUAAUAAUUGUGUAUGAAUAAAUUUACGCAAAAGUGAUGUAACGUAUAACAUGCAAACGUUCGAAGCUGGAUAUUAUCAAGUUUAUGGUAAUACAUACACAUAUACUGAUUGUAUUGACGAAUGUUAUAUGUUAGAAACUUGAAUUAUUUAUAUGUUAUACUCCAUUUGUAAUUACGUUAUCAGAAUUUGUGUUUUAAUCUAAUAAAGCGUAUAUUCGAGUCUUUGGA